CCUACGGGAGGCAGCAGUGAGGAAUAUUGGUCAAUGGCCGGAAGGCUGAACCAGCCAAGCCGCGUGAAGGACGAAGGUGCCAAGCAUUGUAAACUUCUUUUGUCAAGGGACAAAAUCAGGCUCGAGAGCCUGACCGAGGGUACUUGAAGAAAAAGCAUCGGCUAACUCCGUGCCAGCAGCCGCGGUAAUACGGAGGAUGCGAGCGUUAUCCGGAUUUAUUGGGUUUAAAGGGUGCGUAGGCGGAAUGUUAAGUCAGCGGUAAAAGCCCGGGGCUCAACCCCGGCGAGCCGUUGAAACUGGAGGUCUUGAGAUGUCGAGAGGUAUGCGGAAUGCGCGGUGUAGCGGUGAAAUGCUUAGAUAUUGCGCAGAACUCCGAUUGCGAAGGCAGCAUACCGGCGGCGAUCUGACGCUGAGGCACGAAAGCGUGGGUAUCGAACAGGAUUAGAUACCCUUGUAGUC
rnacentral:rRNA from 1 species